GACGAACGCUGGCGGCGUGCUUAACACAUGCAAGUCGAACGAAGUGGCGAACGGGUGAGUAACGCGUAAUCAACCUGCCCUUCAGAGGGGGACAACAGUUGGAAACGACUGCUAUUACCGCAUACUGAAGGAGGGGAUUGCGUCUGAUUAGCUAGUUGGAGGGGUAACGGCCAACCAAGGCGAUGAUCAGUAGCCGGUCCGGGGAGGUGAACAGCCACAAUGGGACUGAGAAACGGCCCAGACUCCUACGGGAGGCAGCAGUGGGGAAUCUUCCGCAAUGGACGGAAGUCUGACGGAGCAACGCCGCGGGAGUGAUGACGGCCUUCGGGUUGUAAAACUCUGUUAAUCGGGACGCGGUACCGGAAUAGAAAGCCACGGCUAACUACGUGCCAGCAGCCGCGGUAAUUC
rnacentral:rRNA from 1 species